AGUCUGUGAUGGAAGAGCUGAAAAAUUGUAGGAACACAUGCCAUAAAAUGAAAAUUAACUCUCAUCAAACUUUCUCUCAUCUCCCAUUCAAAUGGCAGUGGCUGCUGGCGUUGCGUCGUGGCAAACUUACGAAACCCCAAGCGACUUUGUGGACAUCUCCGACUGGAUUCCAAGGCAAAACCUGUUUCCCGCCAGGUGCCGGGUGUCGGUUUUCGGGUCACUGCCAAUACUCGUACUGUUCAAAUCCAAUUUGUGGGCGUCCCAGUUGACUCUAGCCUAAUGGUGCAUUGCCUAUUGUAUUCGGCUGCACUCAAACCUGUCAUUUGAUUAAAUAACAUGUCAAGGAAUGCAUU